rnacentral:rRNA from 1 species
UACGUAGGGGGCAAGCGUUGUCCGGAAUCAUUGGGCGUAAAGAGCGUGUAGGCGGCUUGGUAAGUCCGCUGUGAAAGUCCAGGGCUCAACCCUGGGAUGCCGGUGGAUACUGUCGGGCUAGAGUACGGAAGAGGCGAGUGGAAUUCCCGGUGUAGCGGUGAAAUGCGCAGAUAUCGGGAGGAACACCUAUUGCGAAGGCAGCUCGCUGGGACGUCACUGACGCUGAGACGCGAAAGCGUGGGGAGCAAACAGG